rfam:Solanum tuberosum cultivar DM 1-3 516 R44 scf00119_31, whole genome shotgun sequence.
GGUGUUAUAGCCUAGUGGUUUAAGGUGCCUUGAAAGAGCCAAACCUUUAAGUGUUUGUGAGUUCAAAUCUCGCUAGCAUCA